rnacentral:rRNA from 1 species
AGGGAAUCUUCCGCAAUGGGCGAAAGCCUGACGGAGCAACGCCGCGUGAGUGAUGAAGGUCUUCGGAUCGUAAAACUCUGUUAUUAGGGAAGAACAAACGUGUAAGUAACUGUGCACGUCUUGACGGUACCUAAUCAGAAAGCCACGGCUAACUACGUGCCAGCAGCCGCGGUAAUACGUAGGUGGCAAGCGUUAUCCGGAAUUAUUGGGCGUAAAGCGCGCGUAGGCGGUUUUUUAAGUCUGAUGUGAAAGCCCACGGCUCAACCGUGGAGGGUCAUUGGAAACUGGAAAACUUGAGUGCAGAAGAGGAAAGUGGAAUUCCAUGUGUAGCGGUGAAAUGCGCAGAGAUAUGGAGGAACACCAGUGGCGAAGGCGACUUUCUGGUCUGUAACUGACGCUGAUGUGCGAAAGCGUGGGGAUCAAACAGGAUUAGAUACCCUGGUAGUCCACGCCGUAAACGAUGAGUGCUAAGUGUUAGGGGGUUUCCGCCCCUUAGUGCUGCAGCUAACGCAUUAAGCACUCCGCCUGGGGAGUACGACCGCAAGGUUG